rnacentral:lncRNA from 1 species
GGGGAUCGAUCACGGGCUGCAUGAUGUACAGGCUCCUAAACUUGAUGGAGCAUAUGCGCGCACAGUCGAGUCGUGCACUCGCGCUGUUGAGCCGUGGAAGUUACCAAAUGCCGACAAGUGCAGGGAGCCACCACCGCACCGGCACCACGUCGCCGUCACGGCACCACACCACACACCCCCAGCCCCGAUCAACUGCCCCCCGGCCUGGCCGAUCCACAACUGCUUAUAAACCCUUCGUCUUCCUCCUCCCACCUUCACCACCGCACCCUCGCCUCGCCUCCUUUCCGCCGGAGCGAGCGAGCGAGCGAUGGACCUCGACGACGACAUGAUGCCCUACUCCCCGUCCGGCGACUCCUCGCCGUCCUCCUCCGACCUGGACACCGAGGUUUUUCGUCGAAUUUCCUGGCUGGGUGCGGUCAGUUGCAGUUGCGCCGUUUUCUAUCUUGCGUGCGCUGACGAUGUUGUUAGUUUUGAUCUGUUGGCAGUCGACGGGGUCCUUCUUCCCGGACAGGAGCACGACGCUGGGGACGCUGAUGGGCGUGUCGGCGUUCGGGGGCGGCGCUGCGCAGCGGCGGAUGGCUCGCGCGCCGCCGGGGCAGGAGAGCGAGAGGCCGACGCGGGCGGCAACGGAGGAGCGAGACGGGCGGCGGGCGGGCGG